CAUAGAAGAGCGUAAUUGUCAAUUAAUGAAACAUUUAUGCUGACAAUACUAUCCUUUUCUCCUAUGCUUCGUUCAAUUUCCACCUUUCCCUAUUUCUCUCGCGCUCUCUCCUCUCCCUCUCAUCUGGUUCGGGCAUAGACCCAUCUAUCCUCUUCAUCUCCACCGGUUCAAGGACUCUUCACCAACAACAGGUGAGUUUUCUUUCGUUUCAAUUUCUAAUUUGCUUAUUUUGACAAUUUAUUGUUGGAAUAUUGAAAUAUUGAACUGAUUCAACUAUAAGUCAUUUUCUUCAUUUUUCUACAAUUGAUUUUUGUUCCAAAAUGAUUGAAAUUUGCUGAUUAAUUUGGUUAAAUUCUAUUUUUAAUUAAUUUCUGGGACUUGAGGUGGAUUAAUUUCUUUGGUUAAUUUGGUUAGAAUCGUUUUUUCCUGUAUAAUUAGUUGAUUAGUUGUAAUUUAGUUCAGUGAUUAGUUUUUGGAUGAUACUGGAAGAUUUGAUUGCUGUUAAAUUAAAUUUACACAGACAUGGAUACUCUCUUUCACGUGGUAUCAGCGAAAACAUGUCUGCAACAUAAAUUUACACCGGCAUGUGGAUAGUGAGCUUUUCAAAAGUAGUUUUUUUUAUUUGGACCAAAAGAUAAAAGAAUAGUAUGAGUCGCAUGAAAUGGAAGAUUGCAGAAUCAUAGUAAGCAUAUGAUUUUGCGCAGGCAAUGAACAUUUCAGAGCCUUAUCUCUAGCUCAUAAUUACAAUUAUGCUAUACACCAUAUAGCUUCUGAUGUUGUUGUGGUCUCCGUUGAACUUUGUGUCUUGUUUUGCUCUAUCAUUAAAAUUCAAAGUUUUCAAACCCUUUCAUUAGUUUUCCUUUAAUAUUAUAUAUAUAAGGAUGGCAAAAAAGGUGGGAACUUCAGCAAGAGCUCCACAUGGUACAUGCAAUGAUCAUAAUAUAUCUGUAUUCAGUAAAUUGUGCAUCAAGGAUGUUGAGGUCGGACGUCGUCUUGGCCCUCACUUUAACAAAGAAAGAUCGACAAAUUUGAUAGAAAACUUUAGGAAAGAAAUAGGAAAUUCUUAUAGUAAAGCGCAAUUGAAAAAUAAGUGAGAUAGACUAAAAAAGGAUUGGUAGUUGUGCAAAAAACUAAUUGGGAAAGAAACUGGCCUAGAGUGGAAUCCAAGCAAGGGAACAGUGGAUGCAUAUGAUGAAUGGUGGAAUAAUAAGAUUUAGAUAAAUCCUGAAUAUGGAAGAUUGCAGAAAGGCAUCACUCCCGAGUUCGAUGAAAAGUUGGAUAGGAUGCUCUCAAAUAGCGUUGCUAUUGGUGCAAAUGCUUGGGCACCUUCAUUUGGUGCACUACUACCAAAUAGUAGGGAUGACUCAACAGGAAAUGUUAAUAUACAAAAUGAAUCUAUUGGAUCAGAUGAUGAGGAGAGUGCACUACCGAAUCUAUGAGAAAAGGUGCUAAGAAAGGAAAAAGAAAAAAGCUGAAAGAAAAAGAAAAGAGCUGAACAAGGUGAAUUAAGAACAAGUAAGUUUGAUAGAAAAAGGAAAAAGGUUGGCGAUGCUGGAAAAUUGUAUGGUCAAAUUGACCGCCUUAUUGGUGGAGUAGAGGGUAAGAGCACUAUGAGGCAAUUGGUGACAGGCACUAGUAUUCCUGAAGUUGUGCAGGUUGUUGAAUCGUUACCGGUUGUGAGCGUACUAGCCCGUUGUGGCUGUUUGCAACUCGUUUGUUUUUUAAUCAAGAGAAGAGAGAGAUGUUCUCUAUCAUGAAAGAUCCUAGUGUGCAACUUACUUGGCUGAAUUAUGAGUUCAUCAACCAAUGAGGGAGUUGUAGUUUUACAAAACAUUCUGGAUUUGUACACUCUUAGUCAGAUUUUAGGAUUAUGUCGUAGAAUUUGUUUGACACCUUCCUUGAAUGUUAUUUUGAAUUAUGAGUUAAUUUUUAGAUACUUUGUUUUCAAUAUUGGUACAACUGUUAAUCGGCAAGGUGCUUGAAUUUUGUUAAGGAUUAUUUGUUAACUUGCACGUGCGCUUGAAUAUGGACAUUCUAGAUAAUGAUGAGGAAGAGUUUGACAUAUUAGCAUGUGCUUGUACUCGAGCUAUUGAAGCAUAUUAUCUAAAAUAUGUGCAUAAAACUCCAUGUAUGAAUUUUUUCAAAUAGGAGUGGCCAACCAACAGGGCAUAAAGACGUAUUCAACCAUAUACAUUUUUCUCUUAGAAGCGUAAUUGAGUGUACAUUUAGAGUAUGAAAAAAAGGUGGGCAAUUUUGAGGGAUAUGCUUGAUUGUGUGUUCAAUAAGCAAGUGAAUAUUGUCAUUGCUACAAUGGCUCUUCAUAACUACAAAAGGAGGCAUUCUGAACGUGAUAGGCAUUUUGAUGACCCCGAAGACUAUAGUGAAGAGAGCGAUAUUGAUGAUGAUGAAGAGGAAGAUCGAAAUCACGACCAAGGAGGGAUGGAGGCAUUAAGAAAUAGCAUAAUGAUGAACGCAUAUUUUACUAUUUAUUUUCUUGCGAAAGCUACAUUUUCUUGUGAUAUUUUGGACUUAGACGAAAGGAAUUACAUAGUGUUGUGCUUUUAUAGUUAUAUUAAUGAGGUGGAGGAAAAUAUGAUGUUAUAAUUCCUUAUUUUUAAAUAAACCUAAUGGUUUGUUAUGAUUUAAGUG